rnacentral:rRNA from 1 species
AUGUCUUUCGGCCUAACCAAUGCUCCAGCUACUUUCUCCCGCUUGAUGAACUCGAUCUUUAUGGAGUACUUAGAGAAGUUCGUCGUGGUUUAUCUCGAUGAUAUUCUUAUUUACUCGAAGAACGAGGAAGAGCAUGCCGAACAUCUUAGACUCGUGUUAGAAAAACUCAAAGAGCACCGCCUUUAUGCCAAGUUCUCCAAGUGUGAAUUUUGGUUGCCAGAAGUGACCUAUCUGGGCCACGUGAUCUCUGGUAAGGGCAUUGCUGUCAAUCCCGAGAGAGUCAAAGCCGUUCUCGAUUGGACUCCACCCGAAACGGUCAAACAAGUUAGGAGUUUCCUUGGUCUAGCCAGUUAUUGUUGCCGCUUCAUUGAAAACUUCUCCAAAGUGGCCAAACCCCUCAUGGAGCUUCUCAAGAAAGAUAAAAGGUUUGAGUGGACCCCACAGUGUGAGCACAAUUUUCAGGAACUGAAAAGAUGCCUGACUUCUGCGCCCAUAUUCGUGCCACCGGAGUUCACUAAAGACUUUGUUAUCUAUUGCGACGCUUCGCGUCAAGGACUAGGUUGCAUUCUUAUGCAGGAUCGUCAAGUGAUUGCCUAUGCAUCUCGACAGUUGCAUCCACAUGAGGAAAAUUAUCCUACACAUGAUCUGGAGCUUGCAACCGUAGUCUAUGCACUUAAGACUUGGCGACAUUACCUUCUUGGUAACCAUUGCGAAAUCUACACUGACCAUCAGAGUCUCAAGUAUAUCUUAUCCCAACCAGAUCUAAAUCUCAGACAGAGACAUUGGUUGGAGUUGAUCUCAGAUUACGACUUAGGAAUCACCUACACCCCAAUGUCAUGGCUGAUGCUUUAA